rnacentral:rRNA from 1 species
AUUGAACGCUGGCGGCAGGCCUAACACAUGCAAGUCGAGCGAGCGGCGGACGGGUGAGUAAUGUUUCGGAAACUGCCUGAUGGAGGGGGAUAACUACUGGAAACGGUAGCUAAUACCGCAUACCAUCAGAUGUGCCCAGAUGGGAUUAGCUGGUAGGUGGGGUAACGGCGCACCUAGGCGACGAUCCCUAUCUGGUCUGAGAGGAUGACCAGACACACUGGAACUGGGACACGGUCCGGACUCCUACGGGAGGCAACAGUGGGGAAUGUUGCACAAUGGACGCGAGCAUAAGGCAGCCAUGGCGCGUGUGUGAAGCAGGCCUUCGGGUUGUAAAGCACUUUAAGCGGGGAGGCGGUGCCCGCACAAGAAGCACGGGCUAACUCCGUGCCAGCAGCCGCGGUAAUUC